AUUGAACGCUGGCGGCAGGCUUAACACAUGCAAGUCGAGCGAGCGGCGGACGGGUGAGUAAUGUCUGGGAAACUGCCUGAUGGAGGGGGAUAACUACUGGAAACGGUAGCUAAUACCGCAUACCAUCAGAUUUGCCCAGAUGGGAUUAGCUAGUAGGUGGGGUAAUGGCUCACCUAGGCGACGAUCCCUAGCUGGUCUGAGAGGAUGGCCGACCACACUGAAACUGAGAGCCGGUCCAGACUCCUACGGGAGGCAGCAGUGGGGAAUAUUGCACAAGAGGCGCAAGCCUGAUGCAGCCAUGCCGCGUGUGUGAAUAAGGCCUUCGGGUUGUAAAGCACUUUCAGCGAGGAGGCGUUACUCGCAGAAGAAGCAGCGGCUAAAUCAGUGCCAGCAGCCGCGGUAAUUC
rnacentral:rRNA from 1 species